AAGACACUAGUUUAAGUAAAACAUUGACUUGUCAAGUUAAAAAUAUUAAUUAAUGUUUCUUA
rnacentral:tRNA from 1 species